GGAGGCAUCCAGAAGACAACAAAAGUCCUGGAAGACCCAGCGAUUCUCUGCAACUCUCAAGGAAGCAUUCGAGAAUGGUGUAUAGAAUAGAAGUUUCUACAAGAAAAGGAAAGUGACUACACUAAAGAGCUUAUUCAUUAUCUACAUGUCAAAGCAGAAUUUAAGAUGGCAACAACCAGUGGACCAGCCAUGACAAUAAGCACUGGCCCCCAUGUGCUGGGGUUCCAAAGAAAUCAGGCAUCAGGCCUAAUAAGAAUCAGGUAACACAAGAACUUAUAGAAAAUAGAUUCUCAUGUCCUUUGACCUUCAAAUUCAAUGGAAGAAAAGAUCUUCACAGGGAAGGAUCAAGCUAUUUAAUAUUAUACACAGUUUGGGUGGCAAUAGAAACAAUAAAAAGACAUUCAAUAAAACUCAAUUCCACCUUUGAAGCAAAUGAUCUUACUUAAAAUUAAGUUAUUUCACGACCUAAAUAUGUAAGACAGAGAAUUAAAAAUAACAGGAGUAAAGGUAAUAAUAUAUUAAGAAGAGGAUCAUGGGAAUAAAGGACUCCAUUUUGUGAAAACUGACAUCCUUGAAGAAGAAAUCAAAAUAAAAUGAAGAUAAGCAGUACUAAAAAUCAUGAUUGACAAAAAAAAUUUCAUGAUAUAAAAAGGUUUUUGCAUUUUAACAUUAAUAUCAAUUGGGAAAAUAAGUAAGUCAAAAUAUUAUUUAGAUAUAGGCUGACAACUGUUUAGAUUUUAAAAGAAAAUGAAAAUAAUUUUACAUGCAUCUAACCUUAAGCAAAUGAAAAGCAUUACAGAUUUAGUAGGGAAAUUGUUGAUUUUUAGCUUUCUCUUGAAAAAUUCUGAACUCUCAAGGUAAUUGACUAAUUUUUUUAUUCCAGGGGUAUAAUUAAAUAUAAAGUGAAAGUCUUAUUUCUAUAGUAAUGUGACUGCAGAUAAUCUCAAAGAGCUGAGGAUCCAUGAAUUACAUUGCUUCUAUUUCUUGACUGAAACUUUUCUGAAGACAUAUUUUAUAAAUUAGAAGAAGAAUAAAAAUAGACAACUCAAAUCAGGAGACUUUUUUUCUGACACUGAUAUUCAAUUAAACAGAAAU